rnacentral:rRNA from 1 species
AUUGAACGCUGGCGGCAGGCCUAACACAUGCAAGUCGAGCGAGCGGCGGACGGGUGAGUAAUGUAUGGGGAUCUGCCUGAUGGAGGGGGAUAACUACUGGAAACGGUAGCUAAUACCGCUUACCAUCAGAUGAACCCAUAUGGGAUUAGCUUGUAGGUGAGGUAACGGCUCACCUAGGCGACGAUCCCUAGCUGGUCUGAGAGGGUGAUCAGCCACACUGGGACUGAGACACGGCCCAGACUCCUACGGGAGGCAGCAGUAGGGAAUCUUGCGCAAUGGGCGCAAGCCUGAUGCAGCCAUGCCGCGUGUGUGAAGAAGGCUUUCGGGUUGUAAAGUACUUUCAGUCGGGAAGCGUUACCGACAGAGGAAGCACCGGCUAACUCCGUGCCAGCAGCCGCGGUAAUUC